GCGCCCGUAGCUCAGCUGGAUAGAGCGCCGGACUACGAAUCCGUAGGCCGCCUGUUCGAAUCAGGCCGGGCGCACCA
rnacentral:tRNA from 3 species